CCUCACAGCUGCCGUGCGCGGCGGGCGCCGGGGCGACCCGGGAGGUGCCGCCGUUCGCCUGGUCAGGGGUGACACAGCGAAGCGCGGCGGCUGUGUAACGGGACCGGGACCAUGCCCGCCUCACCGGGGGCGCCGGCACCGGACUGUGUCCCGCCGCCCCGUAAGGGGGCGCUGUGCGCCGCUCCUGCCGGGCCAGGCCGGAGGGGGCGGAGUCCGCAGGUGCAUUACCUUUCGCUUCCGGUGUAGGCCGGAAGUGGGAACCGCAAAGCUUCCGGGUUGUGGCCGCCCGCGGGGAUGGCGGGGCUGUCCCGCACGCUCGGUAUUUUCGGCGGCUUCGUGGCUGUGGUGGGGGCGGCCUUUUACCCCAUCUACUUCCGGCCGUUGCUGCUGCCGGAGGAGUACAAGAAAGAACAGUCGAUAAACCGAGCUGGUAUUGUUCAAGAGGAUAUUCAGCCUGCAGAUGCCAGCUUCCACACCAGAAAUUAACUUCUGAGCCAGCUCAGAGCAAACGAGCCAUGGGUGGGCAGAGAUUUAGCUGUAAAAAACACGCUGUUGCACCCUGGUUUUGUGGAAUACUGCUUUACAUCUCAGCUGAAACACAAUUUAUGAGCGCUUUCUCAGUAUCUUCCAGCUUCACAGGUGGAGAGGGUUAAAAGUGUGGUCUGAUCCAUUUGGAAGAAAGUAAUGUUGCCAGCUGGGUGUAUUGCAAGGCAAAACUGAAGAUGGACAUCUUCAGCUGUUUCUCCUUUCACUGAAGUGUGUCUUUGGGUGUCGCCGGAGAAGAAUUCUGAACAUGCUGUGUGGGCACGUGAGGAGCAACACACGCUACUGGUUGGAAUCCCAGGAGAUAAAAACAUGCUAGUUUUGACAGAGGAUGCACAGGCUGUUAGAGAGCUGAAUGACUCUUGAGUUUACAAGUGAAAUAUUUAUUUCCUUGAGAAAAGGGAAGAGGAAUUAUUUUUGUGGUUAAUCUGUAAACACUUGUAGAAUAAAUUAUGAAUAGAAUAAAUCAUGCAGACCGCUGCAGUUUCCUCCCUAGUAUGAGAAUUACUUUUUGUGGUUUUAUUAUGAAAACAUGAUAAAAUAUACACUGAGAGAGAUCAGUGCAGAAAAUAUGGUGAGUGUAAAUCUGUACAUUAAAAUUUCUUCCUUUUAAACCAAUGUGUAUUUUUUUCAUUUGUUUUGCUGUAGUUGUGGCUGGUUAACCUUGGUGAGCUGCCAGGUGCCCACCCAGCCACUCUCUCACUCCUGCUUCUCAACAGGACAGCAGGAGAAAAUAGAAUGACAAAGCUCGUGGGUCUGGAUAAACACAGGGAGAUUGCUUACCGGUUACUGUUGCAGGCAAAACAGACUCAACUUGGGGAAAAUUAAUGUAGUAUAUUGCCAAUUAAAAUAGAUUUGGAUAGAAACAAAAAUUAAAAUAACACCUUCCCAUUGCCUCCCUUUUUCCAGGAUCAACCUCACUCCUGAGUUCUCUAUUUCCUCCCCUCCCUAGUCCCCCUGAGUGGUGGAUGAGGGUUACGGUCAGUUUAUAACAGUUUCUCUGCUCCUUCCUUCUCACACUUUCCCCCUGCUCCUGUAUGGGCUCUUAAUGAGCUGCAAUUACUUCAAGAAAUACCCAACUGCUCUGGUGUGGGCUCCUCCCCAGGCUGUGGUGUGAAUAUCUGCUCUAACGUGGUCUUCUCCAUGGGCUCCAGGGAAAUCUCUGCUCCGGUGCACCUCCUUCCCCCUCCUUCUUUUCUGACUUUGGUGUUCAUACUGCUGUUCCUCACUUUUUUCCCCCCUCAUUCCUCUGCUUCGUUGGUGUUUUCACAAAGGUGUCACCCACUUGGCUGCUGGGCUGGGCUGUGUCCUGCAGUGGGUCCUUCGUGGAGCUGUCUGGAACUGUCUGUGGCUGACAUGGGGCAACUCCUGCAGCACACCUUCCUUGCUGCCAAAACCUUGACCGGUACAACUGAUACAGGAGGUUAACACGAAAUGUUGGAAUAGAAAGGCAGAUACUUUAAAUACUCUUUAUAAAAAAACACUUUUUCAUGGUGAUCGUAAUGAUCAUUCGAACAGGCAAGCAAAGGAUUGCCCCUACUGAAAAUCUUUACCCAAACUGGAUGUCGGUCUUAAUAAUAGCUUCUGAAUAAACUAUGUGUUUCCAGAUUUCAAAAUAAAGAAACAGUCUAUAAGCUAAGGAAUAUUGUUUUUGAGUACAGGUGUAGCAUGUACAUUUAGCUUUAAUGUACUAUCUUGAUUUAUUUUUAGCACUUCAUUAUGGUACACAACAUUUUAAAGACCAUUGCAGGAUCGUAUAUGUUAUGAAGAAUGUAUGUGCAGUGAGUGUUAUGAAGUUAGCAGAUGAUAGUUUGUUAUUUUUUUCGGACAUCACACAGUUAUUAAGAAAACAGAUGAAAGACUUGAUGUUUACGGUGUUCUUUUCCAAACUGCCAUUCUGUUACUUGCUAUUCCUUUUUUACCUGUCAUUGUCAUUCCCUUCCUGCUCAGACACAGGCUUCCACUUCUGAGUUCUGGUUUUUUUUUUUUAGUUUUCUAUUAUCUCAGUAAGCAUUACAAAUUUUUUUGUUUGCUUGCUGAGAAAAUGUGACCAUAUUUGAUUCCUUUGAGUUCUCAGGUGAUCUCACAUAAUGGCUGAAGUCAGAGUGAGUGUACGCAUUCACUGUAGGGUUGUUGACAGAAGUUUAACUACAUAGCACAGAGCAACAGUGUGACAAAGCUAAUUCAGUGUUUGCUAGGAAAAGAAGAAUCAAUUAAAUUGAAGAACAAAGGUUUUUAUUACUUAAACCUUUGUUCAAUGAGACUGCGGAAAUAAGAGCGCCUUGCUUUUUUGUGUUCUUGAACAAAACGUUAUAUUGAUACAUCAGACAGUUUCAGCCAAGUUGUUUCAUCUGAAAUACCUUUCCGGUGGAAAUUACAGCAUUGCUUAAAGAUACUCCAUCUGUAGCUGACUAGCUGGAAAACCAAGAGUUUUAGGAGAAACUGGGAGUUGUUCAAUAAUGCUGCUUCUGUCACUUGGUGACGCAUGCUUAAAAACAUACAUCCUGGUAGUGUGAAAUAAUUAUUAAACCACUCUUUCAGGAUAAAUGAUGUGACUGGAUAUUAAAUUACUUAGUUUGGAGUUAGGAGAUAAGACAAUCUCUGCUACUCAUUUACUUUGCGAAGUUGAGUAAUUUGAUGAGUAUGGAUCUUGUCUACCAACAUAUUAGAUGGUUUCAGAACAGUGGUUGUUGCUGGCAGGUGCUGAGCCUUUUGCCCUCAUAUUACUUAAACAUUGCAAAACAUUUGAGUACGUGAACUCAGUUAUUUAGCAUUUAUAGAACUGUACAUAUCUGUUGGUUGUGAUCUCUAGUGCAUUCUAGUGCAAAAAAGCUUGGUAAGUUUGGUAAUUGCAUGUACAGAAGUUGCAACAGUCCAUAUUUGUUGAACACUACUGAAGUGAAUCUAAACUCUGAAAAUGGUGUACGUUGGUUUUAAUGAUCGUCACUUCUCACUCGCUGUGUUCCACCUAAUAAAGUGGGCUGAUUGGCCAUGUCUUUUAAGUGUUAGGAUAGUGAAUGUCUUUUUCAAAUCUUUGGUAUUCUAUCUGGAUAAAACUGUUAAGUCAACGAGGAACAUACUGCAAUAAUUCUCCAGAAUUUACACUGAAAUUUUCUAGGAUUGCUCUGGCAUUUGCCAGUUGCCUGGAGACUCGCCCAAGACUCACGUGGGAAGUCCUAAUCCUGCAGCUGGCUUCCUGGGGUCUGUGACAAUGCUUUGUUCUGCUUGUGGACGCUGGACAUAAGCCUCUCCUAGCUACCCAGUAACAGGUGGAGUUGAGUAUAACAAAUUGUGCUCCCCACAACUCCUUCCUUAUCUUGCUCUGAAAGUAAGAGGUUCUGCUACUUUUGUAGCCUGCAACAACUAUUGUUUUUCAACACAAUCACACAAAGAUGUUAGAUGUGUUUAUAAUUAUGCAGAAUUUUAUAUAAUUAUUAGUACUUGGGAGGGAUUAGUCUGCCUUUUGCAGUUUUGGUCCACCUGUUCUGAUUGUUCUGAUAGAAAGGCUGGGACAAAACAUUUGAUAAAAAUGCCUUCUUAGAAUGUUUUUAAAACAAUUACAAUAUCUAUUCUGUAAUAUGAAUGCAUUUUGCUUAUUUAUUCUAGCUGGAAUAUGAACAGCAAAUACAACUUCAGCCUUUGGAGGACUGGAGAAAAGCUUUAAACUGUGCUUUGACAUCCCAACAGGAAGAUCUGGUUGUACUAAGUUUAGACCUGCUGUUGUAUGGUGAUAAGUUUUGAAAUUAUUAAAGCUUGUGCCAUGAAGAGCAAAUCUGGUAUUUUGGUCUAACGCAGCUUAGUUUUGAAGCAUUAUAGACUGUUGAUGAUGCAAUGAAACCCUCAAGCACAAACACUUCGGGAGGAGUAAAUAUGGCAAAAGAUAUUGCCAAGUUGUCAGAUUAUACACAAGCAAGAAAAUGGGAUUUUUCUUGUUGAAUAUUGUACUUAUUGAGAUUGUUCCCACUGAUGAAAGGAAAAUGUUUUUUCUGUAAUACUCAAAGCACAUUGAAUAGCCUCAACUGAUUGUGAAAAUUUUACUGUAUAUAUGCCCUCCCACAAAAAACAGUCCAGGAAAAGCAGUUCUCAUGACUUGCAGUUUUCUAAACUAAAAUAAAUCAUGUAUUUUCCGUUCUUGCAGUCUA